GACGAACGCUGGCGGCGUGCUUAACACAUGCAAGUCGGACGGAAAGGCCCUGCUUUUGUGGGGUGCUCGAGUGGCGAACGGGUGAGUAACACGUGAGUAACCUGCCCUUGACUUUGGGAUAACUUCAGGAAACUGGGGCUAAUAUCGGAUAGGAGCUCCUGCUGCAUGGUGGGGGUUGGAAAGUUUCGGCGGUUGGGGAUGGACUCGCGGCUUAUCAGCUUGUUGGUUGGGUAGUGGCUUACCAAGGCUUUGACGGGUAGCCGGCCUGAGAGGGUGACCGGCCACAUUGGGACUGAGAGACGGCGCAGACUCCUACGGGAGGCAGCAGUGGGGAAUAUUGCACAGUGGGCGGAAGCCUGAUGCAGCAACGCCGCGUGCGGGAUGACGUCCUUCGGGUUGUAAACCGCUUUCGCCUGUGACGAAGCGUGAGUGACGGUAAUGGGUAAAGAAGCACCGGCUAACUACGUG
rnacentral:rRNA from 1 species